GACGUAGGGUGCAAGCGUUGUCCGGAUUUACUGGGCGUAAAGCGCGCGUGGGCGGCUCGUUAAGUGAGAAGUGAAAGCUCUGGGCUCAACCCAGAAACCGCUUUUCAUACUGGCGAGCUGGAGUGAUGCAGAGGUGGAUAGAAUUCCCGGUGUAGCGGUGAAAUGCGUUGAUAUCGGGAGGAAUACCCGUGGCGAAGGCGGUCCACUGGGCAUCAACUGACGCUGAGGCGCGAAAGCGUGGGUAGCAAACAGGAUUAGAUACCCCGGUAGU
rnacentral:rRNA from 1 species